AUCCAGCUGAUGAGUUCCAUAUAGGGCGGGAACGCACGUCCUGGAU
rnacentral:hammerhead_ribozyme from 1 species